GUGGUGGUAUCUGUUUGUCUUUAGCAACAUCAGCACAGUCAGUGUUACAUGUCUGUCACUACAGAAGGCAUCCUCAGGGCUGACAAAAUGACUCAGAGGAUAAAUGCAUAUCACCAGAUUCCAUGAUGGGAGCAGAGCUGGCUGCCCAGGCUUCUCCAGUCUCCACACAUACACAGUGGCAUGUGUGCACCCUCACAUAUGCAUAGGUACAGUGCACACACAAUAAAUAAUAAUAAUAAUAAUAAUAAUUAUAAUAAUACAAUAGUUAAUGUAGAUAAGGAACCUUCAUCUCUAGCUACUUACCCCCCUCUGUAGGACUCAGGCAAGUGCCUAAGUACCAUCUCAGCACGGCAUCUCUUACAGAAGCAGUCAUGCAACUCCACCCUUGCUCCCUAAGGUGAGCUUUCUCCUGGAGGCUGUGGGAAGACUUUGAAGCACUCAAGCCACCAUUCUCCCAACAUGCUCAGUAAUAUCUGAAUGCAGGAAAACCAACCUGAGCUUUGGAAUAAGGCCCUGUUACGUAAGUGGGAAAAUGGGAUAGCACCUAUCAGCUCUUUAGCACGUAGAUGGAUCCUUAGCAUAGAACAGGCUCAGGGAAACUUCCAGCGUCUUCUCCAACAGUGCUUUAAAAUGUGUUCCUGUGACUUGGGAAGAUGUGGAGUGCUAUUCAAAAUGAGAGGCCAGAAGAGGGCUAGGGUGCAGUUCUAGUUAUGGUAUGGAUCCAUUCACCACCUCAGUUCCCUUUUGCGCUCCAGGGGAGUGUUCUAGAUCCAGGGCGGCCAGCCUUUUCAGUAGAAGACGGAAUCUCCAGGUUGUGUAGGUUACACAGCUACUUUACUCACCACUGUGAUAGAACACCGGGUAGAAACAAGUUAGAAAAUAUUUAUUCUAGAUCACUGGUCAGAAGACAUGGCCCAUCACAGUGGGGAAGGCACGGCGGCAGGAUCAGGUCUGAGCCUGUAGUAGUGGGAGCACAGUUCAGCCAGAACUAGACAGCUGAAGCGGGAAAUGGGGCCGAGCUACAACCCUGUGUUCUGGCCCACAACAACCUGUUCCCUCCAGCUAGGCCCUGCCUUCUAAAGGUUCUACAACCUCCCAAAAGAGUGCUACCAACUAGGGGCCAAGUCUAAACCUGGGAGCCUCUGGGACACAUUUCACACCUACACCACAACACAGGUUGUUCAUCCACUCGACUCCAUUACAUGGCUGUCUUCUAAAGCAUUGUGAGCUAUGUACAGCCUCGUGCUGAUGUGGCUUCAUCUUCAGACACAGGCAACAGCCUGCGUUAGUCAUGCCAACCAGUUUGGCCGUCCCAGGCCUCAGUGGCCUCCAAAAUUCCUCCAAACUGUCCCUUCAGCUGACAAUUAGCUCCUUCGAUAGCACACAUUCGAUUCAUUUGAAUGUGAGUCUGAAUAUAGUAACACCAGCAGUUUAGGUAUUAUUUUAGAUAUCAUUUCCCUCCAGUGAUUCAUUGAGUUUUGACAGCAUUUGUUGAGAGCCUAACAUAUGCCAGGUGCUGUUCUUGCUACUGGAGAACUGUAAAUCGAUUUAAUCAACAGUUGACUAAACCCUAAACAUCAGAUUGCUCACAGCCUAAAAAAAGAGUGGUCAUCAGCAAAUAUCAUGAUCUCCUGUUUAAGACCAGCGUUCGACUUCAGGUCAGGGCUGGAAGGACUGCUCAGUGCUUAAGAGCUCUUACCUCUUUUCCAGAUCUGAGUUUUUUGUUCCCAACACCCAACACAACCUCUUCUAACUCUAGAUCCAGGGGGAUCCAACACUGUCCACUGGUCCCCAUGGUUCCACAUGGUUCCACUCAACAUGUACAUAGAGACACAUGCAAUGUGAAUAAGGAAAAGAACACAAGUCACACUACAUUCUUAUUUCAGAUGCUAACAGGUUCCAGGACACAGCGACAUAACGUGUAAGAAGUGUAGCAAGCCGGAUGGACUGUCACAAAUGCACUCCAGGAGAUUUGAUGGGCCUGGCUUUUCAUGGCCCCUGCUCAGGCCACGGCUGGAUUGUACUGGAGGCCUGGACAGUGGCCAUCAGUGGUAAAGGUCAGGCCUUGCUCAGCUGCAGAGAAAGUGUAGUUUAUGACAGAGCGUGCAGCAGGAACUUCCAGUCAGGAACGUGAUACACAAGGUUCCACAUGAACAGGAAGCAUCAGGAAGCUCAUUCCCAACAGAGCAACUAAGUUGUUCCGCCUUUCCUAGCGAGGCAGGUAAAUGGUGGGGGAGGUACUUGGACCACAAGCAAAUUUCAGUGCCAAAGUAAUAUUGUGUAAAUACAUCUUUCACGUAUUUAUUUCUGAUACAUCACCACAGAUUGAUAUAUCCUCUCCAUGAAACCUGCAGCAAAAUUGAAGUUGGAUGGUUCAGCGGGCUGAUCUUAGGGAAAUCCUGAGCUGCCACCCAGAGACAUCGGAGGUGACAAGAGGCGGCAUCUGUAAGGACGAGUCGGAGGCAGAGACCAACUGCUCAUCUCAGCGAGUUCUCCGCCUUACUCCGAUGACUGAGUGGAUGGGGAGAUUGCUCCUAAUUAAAUCACGUCAUAAAAAAAAAAAGACACCAUUUUCCAUCUGAAUGCGCCCUGCAGUUCUCACGGUGGGUAAUUUGUUGUUUUAAUAAGCUGGAGGUUGAAUUCCAAGGUUGUAGCCACUGAUGCUGCACCGAAACAGCCGUGGUGUUCUGGCAGUGUGCUCGCUCCUGGGAAGGUUCCCGGGGAAGCUAGCUGGCAAGUGGCAAGUCCUUACACAAACUCUGCUUGCUGGAGACCUGGGGAGCCAACUAGUGUUUCUCAACAUGCUGUAGAAGGUCAACCUGGGCCAAGGAGGUAAACGAAAGCCUAAUUGCUAACGGAAAAGCUGAAAUGAGACGUGAAGGUAGUGAUCCUGCCUCCUUGUGUCUGGGCAGAAGUGUCCCAUCUCCCAGCCUCGUUCAGUUCUGGGUGAGGGCGGCUGAAGGGGCCACAGUGCUUGGAGUAUAGGAAGUGUCCUCAUCAGUUCUAGCACAAAGCAGCUUGGGGGACCUUGGUCAAAGGACAGGGUGGCUACUCUCAUCUGUGGAGAUGGCCAUAACUCCCACGUCUCAGGAAGGUGAAGUGACAAUCAGAGGAGGUAGUUAGGGGCUGACAGACAAAGCUGAAGUUCUCCCCUCUCCACGUCUGAGGAGGAAGAGGGCAGAGGUCGUAAGAGUAACGUGGGCAUACUUCUGGACUCUGUGUACCUCUACAUUCAGGAGUACGGUUUAUGGCUGAUAUGGAUAGAAACAGACACUACAGCCUGAGGACUUUUAUUGACUGGGAACUGAGCAGUUGUGAUAGGAGUGAACAAACAGGGCCAUCCUUCUAUGGGGUGCCAGCUUUGUGUUCUUGGCCUGGCCCUGCUCUGGAUUCUGUCCAGACUUCCUGAACCCUUUUCUCAUGGUCCCUUGGGCUGCCUGUACUGAGGCCCUUCCAUUACUCUUUUUUAGCAACAGUGAACAGCAUUUCGACCCUUUCGUAUUCCCUGAGACACUAGAAAAGGUUGUACAUUGGCUUGCUACCUUCUGCUCUCUGCCAUCCUCCCCCCCAAGUUUCCACAUCAGCUUGGCUUCAGGUAAAAUUCCACUGAAGUCUUCCACGAUAAGCACAGACUCUAAUUGUAUUGAUUCUACAGGGACCGUGCUUAUGAACCUGGCAUCAUUAGUCUCUUGGUCCCUGUGAUUACCUGAUGAUCAGGAAUCUGCUCUGUAGGCACAGGGUCCCCACGGGAGGCUGAUGGGCCAGGGCCAGCCCUCUGUUGUGAGGCAUACUUGCAUCCUCUUAGAAAAUAGAAAUCUGUGGCUCGAAUCAGUGUGCUCCCCUGGGGCUCAGCACCUCAUGGCCCAUCCUUUUGUUGGCACUCAGAGGCAGCAGCUGUUAAGGUUUGUUUUCCUUCUGUUGGGAACAAGCUUCUCCUUGCUACAGCUUCCCAGAGGCCCAUCGCCACACAAGCAGCCAGGGCGCAGUCUCAGCUCUGUUAGCUUGCUCUCCUGCGCAUUUCCUGUUUCUUCCCUCCUCUCCCCUCUCAUCCUCCCUCCAUCCUUUCUCUCCAAGCACUUGCCCUUUCUGUAUCUCACCUUUCCUCUCAGCUCAGCGGCUGUUGGUCGGGCAUGCUAACAGUAGGUAACAGCCCCUAAGAGUGACAUGGCCUCUGUUCUCAAAGCCACAGCCCUCAGCCCAGCAGAAACCAGUCUUACGUCAUCACAUUCCCCAUCCUACAUGGGGGUCUGAAAAUCUAGAGAUUGCUAUGGUAAUGACAGAUGUUAAAUAAAAUUAGAGGGAGUGUUGGGGGCCUGAAGAGGUGGCUCAGUGGUUAAGAGCACUUGCUGCUCUUCCAGAGGACGUGACUUCAGUUCCCAGCAGCCGUGUUCAUUGGUUCAAGCUCCAGGGAAUCCAGUGACCAUGUCUAGCCUCCUACAGCGUGCAUACAGUCACAGACAUAGAUAAACAUAAUAAUACAUUAAAAGGAAGGUUAUGGUUAAAGUGGGUGGGGACGAUAAGGAAGGCAAAUGAAGGGCUUGCUGUGGGACAUGAGACAGCCAAACUGCCCGGGAAAAGGAAGGACAGGGCUCUGGGGUAGCAGAGAUGAAAUAUAGAUUUUAAAAGAUGUUAACACAGGAACACCAGAGGGGAGUGUUUGCUAGCCCUGGAGGUUUAGACAUGUCCAGCCAUUGAGCUAGUCAAGGCAUAUUAAAAUUAGUGUGUUUUUGUGUGUUUGUGUGUGUGUUUGUGUGUGUGUAUUUGUGUGUUUGUGUGUGAGUGUUUGUGUGUUUGUGUGUGUUUGUGUGUGUGUAUUUGUGUGUUUGUGUGUGUGUUUGUGUGUUUAUGUGUUUGUGUGUUUGUGUGUUUGUGUGUUUGUGUGUGUGUUUUUGUGUGUGUGUUUUUGUGUGUUUGUGGUUUUGUUUUUGUUGUGUGUUUGUGUGUGUUUGUGUUUGUGUAUGUGUUUGUGUUUGUGUGUGUUUGUGUUUUUGUGUGUGUGUGUUUUUGUGUGUUUGUGUGUGUGUUUGUGUGUGUGUAUUUGUGUUUGUGUGUGUGUGUAUUUGUGUGUUUGUGUGUGUGUUUGUGUGUGUAUUUGUGUGUUUGUGUGUGUGUGUUUUUGUGUGUGUUUGUGUGUUUGUGUGUGUGUUUGUGUGUUUGUGUGUGUGUUUGUGUGUUUGUGUGUGUGUGUAUUUGUGUGUGUGUGUGUGUGUGUGUGUGUGUGUGUGUGUGUGUGUGUGUCUUUCAUCCGAGAAUGAAGAGCUCUCAGGCAAGCACAGUGCGUGUGACCUGCCAGGAGCCACAGAGGAUUAACCAGUUCACCACUACAGUGUGGGCCACCACAUCUGGCAAGUAAGAUGAUUAAUCUCGACUGUCAGUGGAUGAGAUUAGAUUUACCAGGGAAACAGACCUCUGCAAGAGUCUGUGGAGGGUUAUCUGUUAGGUUAGCUGAGGCGGAAGACCAACCCUAAGUGUGGGCGGCCCUAUCCUCUGGGCUGUGCUCCUAGAUUGAAUAAGACGGAGGCCGAGCUGAGCAUCGCUUUCGUCCGCUUCCUGACUGCAGAGUCAUGUGACCAGCCACGUUCCUGCUACCAAGGCUUCCCCACCAUGAUGGACGCCACAAUAAAACUGCAGCAAAAUAAACCCGUACAGUGUACUCGUUAGGCAUGUUACCAUAGCAAUAAACAAAUAACCAAUAUAGCCAGGCACGACGGCGCACGCCUUUAAUUCAGGAUUCAGAAGGCAGAGGCAGGUAGAUGUCCGAACUGAAAGUCAGCCUGAUUGACAUAGUGAAUCCCAGGUCAGCCAGGGCUGCAGAGUAGGACCUGUCUUAAAGCCAAUGAAGACAUUGGCAAGGGAGCUCCUGCGAGUCCACGGGCUCCUCCUUCUGCUCCACUGAAGGCCAUGGAGGCCUGAGAAGGAGCUAAAGGCACUUUCUCCAGAGUUACCAUUCCUCUAGCCAAAGAACCCUCUCUGAAUUUCUUCCACUCAGUCGUACCUAUUCAGAGCCAGUGGUGGUGUGGCCUUACAGUCUCUUUUUGAGUUUCUGGGACCCCGGCUGGCCUAAGUGUGGGGAUGCUUCUGCUCCUCUGAUAGGAGAGUCUGAGUAGCACGUGUAGCUGGCUACCCUGCGGUGGUGCCCGAGAGCUGGUAGAGCUAAGUCAAAUCUCACGUUCCCUGCUUCACACCACCUCCCUCAGCCUAGACCUGGGCUGGCUCCUCCUGUUUGUCUUCUCCCUUGUCUCAGAAACAAUGAGGCACCGUGGGUCUGCUGUGUGUUGUGGAUGGACAGGAAGUGGUGGCCUUGAGUAGGGGAUGCUUGCUAAGAGGAGCAGUGGAGCGCAGAGGCAGCACCAGCCGCUCAGCUGGAAGCCCUGGAGUCUGUGCCAGCAACAGUCCAUCUGCUUAUUCACGGAACUGGACAUAAUAAAUCCAGCUGUUUGCUAAUGUUGCAAAUGGGCCUUUUGCUAGGGCUGUUGAGGUCAAACUGAGUAAUAGGCUGUGUCCAGAGCCCGGUAAUGGCCAUCUAUUAGCUUCUGUAGGAGCACUCAUGUUAGGAAAAUCACAUCUUGUGUGGCUCUGCAGCUGAAGGAAUGGCUUGUUAAAAAUUUCCACUCAGGCAGCCUAGAGAGCUCAGGGUUUAUAUACCAAAGACUAGGAGUGUUUACUGGAAAAGCAGAAACCCUCACAAGCUCAGUGGAGGCCAGUGACCUACCUUAUGAGAACCCCUUGUGAAAGUUAACCUCAGUGGACCGGCACAGCAGCAGAGUGACAGUGGGGAUGACGGAGGGGGACGCAGCCUGCCCGUGUUCUCUCGGUGUGGUGUCGAGGGAUGGACUGUAAUUUCCUGUGAGGUCACACGAAGAGCAAGAGCAGACUUCUAAGUCUCUGGGCCAGAAGCCACUCAGCAGCUCCGCUAUGACAGGAAUCACCAGACUCACUCUUGGCUUGAGAUGUAGCUCUUCCCACCAAGAGGUGUCGUAUCAACCUGUGGGCAUCAUGUGGUAGAUCAGGGUGCAGGGAAGUGCUGUCAGUUGCAGGGUCUGAAGACUUUCCUGAAGGAUUUUGGUACUGGGGAAAGAGAGUAUAUGAGGGCAGUGCAGGAGAGGUUCCAGAACUUUCCUAAGAAGUGACAGCAGAUCUGAAGUCCGUUCACCUGUUUUUCAUGUCAGUGAUUGAACCGAGGGUACUGGGUAUUCUUCUACUGAGCUGCACCCCCUGCUACCCCUCCUUGGCCCCCUCUCAGUCUGUAGCUGUCAGUCUUUCUGGGCCUUGUCAGGCUGUCUUUGCAAUGGAAGACAGAAAUCACAAUCUUUCGCCAAAGCAGAGCUUCUCUCAGCCCUGAUCCAUUUACCAUUUACCAGAUUCCUUUCCAGGGACCUGCUUGUCUUCCUUGCCCUUCACAGAUGUUCUCUCUGCCUACCAAAUGUCUACAAUUACACCUGUAAUCUCACACUUGGGAGAAUAAAGCAGGGCAGUUGGUUCAAGAGCAAUCAGGACUACACAGUUGGACUUCAUCAAAGAAACAAACGAAAAGCAACAAAACCAGACAAACACGCCCAAACCCCAAAGAGCCCUCCUGAGCCUGUCUGUCCUCUUGCUCACUUCUGAUAGAUUAGCAGCUGUGCUCCUUCUUUGCUCUCCUAAAAGACAAAUAUAGCUGCCUCCUUCCCCACAGGGUAUAAAGAUAUAAUUAGAUCACUUGGUGAGCAUAGUUUGACUCAGGUCUUCUAGUUGCCAACGCUCACCAGAGGCAAAGCAGAAGCCAAAGCCAUGCUCUGGGAUUCCCAGCCUCCAGAGCCAUGGACCUACAGAGGCUUCCGCUAGAGUUUGAACAUGUAAGAGGUAGCACCUACUGGGAGGAAGUUAAGUCAUUGGAGAUAUGCCUUUGAUGGGCAUAUUGGAACCCUAGCCCUCUCCAUCCUCUUUACCUCCAGGCCAACAUAAAGGAAGCGGUGAGUUCUACCCCUCCACAUUCCCAACACAGCUCAAGAUGUUCUUCUGCCAAAGUCCUACCACACACUGAGCCUUCUAAAGCUGUGAACAGAAACCGCUCCUUUGUCUCAGGUAGUUUAUCAUAGUCAGGGAAAGCCAACACACACUUUUCUUUUUUAAGAUGUACGUGUGCAUGCGCGUAGGUGUGUGCAUCUGUGUGAGUACAGGCACCCUGUGUCUGUGUGCAUAGGCCCAGUUUAGGUGGCUUUUCUAUUGUAAUCCACUUUAUUAACUUAUUUUUUGAAACAGGACCUCUCACUGAACCCAAGGCUUGCCAACCAGGCUAUACUGGCCAGCCAGUAAUCCCCCAGGAUUACUGUCUUCCCUCCAGGUUUUCAGAUUACAGAUGUCACUGCCUCAUACCUGGGUUUUUAUGGGUGCUAGGAGCUCAAGCUCAGAUUCCUGUCUUUGUGCCGUAGGCACUUUGCCCACUGAGCCAUCUCCCCAGCCUUAACUUCACUUUAUAAACCAUCCAGCCCUGCAUAUUCUGCUGUAGCAAUAGAAAUGCGCUCAGCUAGUUCCCAAAAUAUAGGCGUGAUUAUCAUCCUCCCAACUCACGAGAGUGGAUACCUAUUGUCUUCUUAGCUUAUCCUGGGAGAGAGAAUAGGAAGUGUCUGUUGAGGGCCCAACCUUGUCUCUGGUGAAGCAGCCGACCUCCCAGCCCAAGUCAGAACAUUUCUUCGUCCUCCUAUGAUUUGCCUGUGGCACGUUCUCUGUCACUCAUGGACCAGUGUUGUUAAAUCACCGUCUGCAAACAGCUUGCCUCUCAGUGGUAGAGCACUUCAAGCCCUUCCCAAUCAGAGGACUGUCAUGAUAGUUUGGCAUGAUGGAGAUGUGCUUGUCUUCUGUUAAGCUGAACUAACACAGGAAUUUAACUAGAUGAGAGGUGACCCUUGGGGUCGGCACUGCCAGCUUCCGUUGUUAAUCACACCCUUUAGUGUCCUCACUUUUUAUCUAUAUAUGGGAAUGUUUCACCUGGAUGUACUUGUAGGUGCACCAUGUGCAUGCUAGGUGCCAAUGAAGGCCAGGAGAGUGCGUCAAACAGCCUUAAAUUCCGAGCCGUCUCUGAUAUUGUCUUUUCAUUUUACCUAUGUAAGCAUGUGUGUGUAUCUGUUUGAAUGUGUACCGUGUGUGUGCUGGUUUCUGCACAGGCCAAAAGAGGGCGUCAGAUUCCCUGAAACUGGGGUUAUAGGUGGCUGUGAGCCACUCGAUGUGGAUACCGGGAACCAAAUAUGGGUCUUUUGCCAGAGCAGUAAGUGUUCUUAACCGCUGAACCAUCUCUCCAGCUCCCAAAGGCACUCAUUUUAAACACCGGAGUAUGGGAGCUGACUGAGGAGAUGGAUCAUCAGUAAAGUACACAUAGCUUAUCAGCAGAGCGCUUGCCAUGUUUGACGAGUACUGGAGUUAAAUCCCCAGUACCACAUAAAAAACAGACAUGGCGCCUUGCUGAGGGGGAGGGUCAGGGAGGAGGGAUAGGAUAUGCUUGGGGCUUACUAAAACCAGUCAGGCUGCCAUAAUCAGCUACUCGCAGGUGCCAAUGACAGACCUUGCCUCAAAAAAUAAGGUAGUGAAUAAUUGAGGAAUGCUUGACAUCAGCAUCUGGCAUAAAUGCACACGCACACGCACACACACACACGCACGUCUCCUACAUUAUUGUGAGAAGAAAACGAAUUAAUACGAGAUCUUCCGUUGGGUUUUAUUUUCUGAGACUUGUUCUUACUGUGAAGCCCAAGCUUACUAUCCUUCUGCCACACCAUCUCACCCGAGUUAAGAUUUUAGGUCUUAAACAGCGAGUGAGUGAGUGGUUAGUCAGCCUGGCUAUAGAUAUUAUUAAUAGUACGGUAUUUACAGAACUGCCUUUUCUCUCAAAUUGGGGAGGUGUGUCCCGUCCCCCCCCCCACCGCUUCCCCCCCCCCCCCCCCCGCUGUUGCAGAGGUGACCUGGGUGAUUCAGUAGCCGCGUAUUCUGAUUGGUGGACGAAUCUGACAGACCAGGCGGCUGGCAAAUGAGAACACACAACCAACCAUUCCUUCCCGCCUUACUAGGCUUUCCAUUUUAGAGUGGGGCAAAGUACUCCCUUGCUUAGGCUUAAAGCCAAAGGCGCCUUCUGCAUCCAGCUGGAACCAAGGACUUCGCAGAUCACUUCCGGGGGCUGUGGGCUGCGGUUCACACUCCCGAGCCACCUCUGCGAUGUUAUUUAUGGAUUCCCACCGUAACCUGAUGCUCUAGUCUAGACAAACUGUUGCGCGCAUCUCUGAAAAGGCUAUAAUGGCUCCCAUUUGGGUACACAUUCAGAAAACACUUUUGUUUUGAUUUAAAUUGUUGGCCUUUGGGGUUCGUGCAGGUGCAACCAGAGGAGAGAUCUUUGGCAGGGAGGCUUAACGAAAACCACCAGCCAGAAGAGUACCAGGGAAUUACCCCCACCCCCAACACACCUGAAUAGGAAGCAGUUUCAAAAGGAGAGGAGGGAAGCAGGCCAGGGAACGAGCCAUCUUCCUCGGAUAUUAUAAAACGUUCAGCCCAGCUAGCGGCUCGCAGUCUGAAGCAUCUGUCACACUUCACUGACAACCAAAAUGCCUUGGAGAUAAGGCAAUUAUGAGACCCAGAAUAAAUGAAAGAAAACCCAAUCUCUGCCGAGUAGCACUGCCAUCUAUUAGGAAAUUAUUACAGGCAGAAGCGGACUUUAAUGAGAUUUUAACAAAAGAAAUCUAGUCCCUUUCCUCUGGGGCAGAGAGGGUUUUUUAAUGAUGUGAAUGAUUAAGUGGGUGAGAGGCCUCCCUGGGAGCAGGAAUACGAGGAAUAGUGUGAGCUGUGGCGCCUGCCUUGUCCAGGCAGCUCUGAGGAAGGGACCUGUGUAAUACUGUCCCAGUCUAGGACGUGGCCUGGAAGGUCAGGCCAGUCUUCUGGAUCCCAACUCGGUCUCAGAUUGCUAACCCAACAACCCACUGGGCUGUGGGUCAUUCUGAGGGCAUCAUAGUAGCCACAAGAGACUGGAGUCAGAGGGCAUAGUGACAGCUAGACCUAAGACCUGCUUGCCUUCCAUUUUCAAAGCACUGGCACUUCAGAAGACAGUGUUACUGGAGUCUAAUGUUCUUGCUUCAAGAGGAGGGAAGAGAAAGUAGGUUGCCGGGAGUAGGCAGACAGAUGCUCGGGGCCUCUUGCAUGGGGUUGAUUUUCCUGUUUUGUUCUCUUUCAUCUGUUCGUGAAAUGAAAGCGAACGGUGAGUCAGUAGGAUCGGAGAGAGGUUCCACUAUUUCAGCUGUAGUAUUUCUGUUACAUAGGGGUUUGCUGCACUUGAAGCAUAAGCCUCUGCUUCCUCUGUGGGGGUCACUGAGGAAGGCUAGGGUGACCCAAGAAUGCCUGGGCUGUCAAGAACUACUGGGCCUUUGCUGGGCAGGGCAUGAGAAGACCAUGGUUGAGGAAGCAGUGCCCACCAACUACAAUAUGUUUGUGUGUAUGUAGGGGGAGACGGACCCUCAGCAGUUGGGACAGGCAGAAGCACAGAACAUCUUCUAGGGGCAGAAUUCCAGUCAGAAGAGCAGUGUACUAUGCUGGCUGUAACCACCUGAGACAGAGGCAGACAGACUGUUAGGGUAUUCAGCAUCUGAGGACUGCUGACAAACGGGCAGCAAACGCAGCAGUGCUUCCCUUAACAGCCGUGGUAAAAGGAUUUAGAAUUGAAGACGAACUUAAAAUGAUGUAGAAGACAGAUUUGGGGGACCCGUCUUUUGGGCAGAAAGUUGAUUUUAUUGGAACGUAGGGUUGUUAUUAUUCUUAUUAGCUAAUAUUUAUUAAGCACUGAGAGCUGUUCUAAGUGCUUUACACUUAGCACUUCUCAGUCUGUCUGUGGUGACUAAUGGAUGAGCAGGAAGCAGAGGACCUCGGCUUGCUGGCCUGUUCCCUGGGCUAAGCCUUGGUUGUCUUUCUUACAUAGCACAGGGCCACCUGCCCUGGAAUGAUGCUACCCACCAUGGGCAUUUGCAUACGGGCAGUUCCUCAGUUGAGGCUUCCUUCCCAGAGGACUCUAGACUGUGUCAAGUUCACAGAGAUAACAAGGAAGGAAUAAGAUAACAGGAAGGAAUCCCUGGGUCAGGUGCCAAGUUAGAUGUGUCCUGCUUCUUGGUCAGGUAUGAAGUCAACCGUUGUUUGUAGAGAUGGGCUGUGAUGCUCACACUGUUGUCGAGUGUAUAAAAGCUGUCAAAGCCCUUGGCGGUAACAGCCACCGGAAUGCCACUGUUUGCAGUGGAGAAAGUAGGAGGAUGGACGAUAGGAAUUUGUAGACUGCUUGCCUAUCAUGCAUGAGACCUUGGUUCAGUCUCCAGCACUAUAUAAACAGGGCUUGGUACUGGCAUGCAUCAGGAAUCCCAGCACUAGCAAAGUAGAGGCAGGAGGAUCAGAAGUUCAAAGUCAUCCUUGGUCACAUAGCAAACUCAAGGCUAGCCUGGGCUACAUGAGAUUCUGUCUGGGGAGGGAGAGAGGGUGAUGCCUCCGAUGGUUCUUGCUUAUUCCAACUUUAUGAAAAUUAUCUCACGCAUGUUAUCAAGUUAAUUCUGACGUAAUUCUGCCUUGGCAGAUGGACCCCAGUACUCUUUUUUUGUUUAAUUUAUUUAUUUCACAUAUGUUAGUACACUGUAUCUGUCUUCAGACACACCAGAAGACGGCAUCAGAUCCCAUCACAGAUGGUUGUGAGCCACCAUGUGGUUGCUGGGAAUUGAGCUCAGGACCUCUGGAAGAGCAGUCAGUGCUCUUAACCGCUGACCCAUCUCUCCAGAUCAACCCCAGUACUCUUAUGUCCCCACAUUAUGCUCACACUCAGGCUGUGUAGUUUGGUCUUUGUUAGCUUCGGGCUGUACUUUGGGUUCUAGGGAUUUGGAGGGACCGAUGCAUUAAUUAAUGAGUCCAGAGGAAACAUCUAAUGAUUACAAAUGAGGAAACUUGCUAGAUGCAAAGUAGAAGCUAAUCCAGGCCUAUUAAAUUAUCUCCAGGCACACCCAGCCACAUUGGGAACAGGAAGUAUAGUUCUGCCUGAGGCCCUCUCUUCCCUAAGUUCUGACAAGCCACCUUCUCUGUGGAAAGUCAGUCCUCAAGGUAUUAGCACCAGAAUUGCCCGGCUGUGACUCACCUUCCUAAGCGUAAGAAAGAGGAGCCUAAUAUUUUCUACAAGUGACUGUGGAGAUGCCUUGGGGACACUCAUUCCUUUAUUUUGCUUUGCAUAAUAAUACUUAAUACUGUUUAAAAAACAUUCUGCCAGGUGACUCUUUCCCUAGGCAGGACUUUUAUGUUUCUGAUUGCAGUAUUUUAUAAAUAAAUUCUACUUGACCAUAUUAAAUUUUUUUCCUUCUAUUGCAAACAUUUGCCAAAGACUACUAGAAUGAGGAGGAAUGGGUCUGCAUUCCCAGCCCUUAACAGGUCUGAUUUUAAAACAGUCAGCUCACGAGGCACCUGCAUGUUCUGUUUUCUGUCCAGAGCGAAGCUUCAUCACAGAGGCUGGGGCUGAAGUGUGCCACUUCUCACAUAUGCAGUGGCUAUCCCCGUGACCCUUGCUGUUGCUGUAUGUCCUAGAGGAUCCGACAAGGCCAUCUGGCUUUUCUUGGAAGGAUUUGGGGAAACCUGCUUCCCACGAUUGAGGUCCAAUUUUCUUGCUGCCUACCAUGGUGCAGGCAGACUCUUACCUUCUGAUGGUCACUUCUAUCUUUAGCAUGAGGCCCCUUCCCCAUUCUUUGAAAUUUUAGAAAUUAUUUUUCGCGUAUGGGUGUUUUUCCUGCACAUUUAUCUGUGCAUCAAAUGAGUGCAGUGCCCUCAGAGGCCAGGAGAGGGCAAUGAGUCCCCAGAACUGGAGUUACUGAUGGUUGUGAACUGCCUUGUUGAUGCUGGGAAUCAAGUCUGGGUGCUUAGGAAGAGCAGCCACUGCUCUUAACUACUGAGCCAUCCCCACGUCCGUCCCUGGCUCUCCUUCUUCUCAGAAGCCAUAGACACUGAAUGUUGUUAUUAAAUAUCAAAUAUCCGCUGAACCCUCGUGGAAAGAGCACACCAAACCAACACCAACGUGGUUCCAUGUGGUGAGAUUUAAUGGGGGAACGAGACAAGGGGAGGGGGCAAGAGAAAGAAGAGAAAAGAGGACAGAGGGAGCCUGCCUUUUAUUUGGAAUGUGACAUAAGGUUCCCAGGUGGAGGUGCAAAUUCAGCCAAAAGGUCUUCUGGGAAUGUAUGGUCAUUGCCAUGGCAACAGUGACCAACCAGUGUCCCUGCUAAAGGCAAUUCCUGAAUCCCACUCUGGCUUCCUGUCUCCUGCUGGUGACCAAGGAAAACUGAGCUACAAGGGUCUCUGAUCUGCCUCCAUUACCACCCACCUCCUUUCUCGUUUUUCAGGGAGACUUUACUAAAGAGCUCUGGAUAGUCUGAUACUUGUCAUGUGGCCCAGGCUGGCCCUGAACUCCUCUCAGUUUCAAACAGCCAGAGUCAGGCUGGCCUUGACUCCCUGCUCCCAGACCUGUGUCAGAAAAAUCAUCUGGCCAUCUCCGUGUCAAAAGAGCAACUGAGGGGCUGGGGAUUUAGCUCAGUGGUAGAGCGCUUACCUAGGAAGUGCAAGGCCCUGGGUUCGGUCCCCAGCUCCGAAAAAAAGAACCAAAAAAAAAAAAAAAAAAAAAGAGCAACUGAUAUGGAACUUGAAUAACAUUUGAAAGGAAAUGUCCUUUUUUUCAUUACCUGGAUUAGUGUUCAGCUGAAUUAUGAGGAAAAGAGAAGCUUGAAGGACUAUUUUUUUUUAAAUAAUUUUGGUGGUCCCUGUCCCAUUACACAACUAUUCUUGGCAGCUGUGAUGGGUAGAGCUAUCUAGGGCUUAUGGCUUUCAGCACCACCCAGGGAGACAGGAACAGAAACAGAAAUGUCCUUCCCAGCUGAAGAAAUAAGAUAAUGAGACUUAACCAACACCAACACUGUUUCUAAUGAUCCCCAGCCCUAGAACAGCACCUGGGACAAAGCAGCCCUCACCCAGGUACAAUACCUUGAGUAAAUGGCUGCACCAAUCACAGCCCAUUUGUCAAUGUUUGUUGUUGCUUUUGAGUCAGGGUCCCUCUGUGUAACCCAAACUCACCAUCCUCCUGCCUUGGGCUUGGGAGGGCUAGCAUUGCAGGUGUUCACCACUGGGCCUGUCUAGCCAACUCACACAGCAUACAGUGAGGGGUAUAUAGAGCCCUUAAACUCCAUAUUCCUUGCCAUGGCCAAUUCUAUAUGUCAACCCAGCUGGAUUAUGAUAUCCAGUUGUUCAAAUAAAUACUAGCCUAGAUGUUGGAGUGAGGGAUUUCAACAAGUGGGGCUCAGAAUGAAGCAAAUCUGUAGCAUGGGUAGGCCUUGUUCAAUCAGGGAACUAGGUUUGGGACCGUGAAAGACAGCGUGGUUCUCAGUUGAGCUAAAGCUAGAAGCCCUGGUGACCCUGAAGGGGCAUUAGGAUCUUUGCCUGCUCCCAGUCACCAGGCCCCUGUCACUAGCCACAGCCCCCCAUAGACUUAUGGCCAUCAGUGAUGUAAGGGCUACACCCCAAGCCCUUCCACAUGUAAAGGAUGUAAACUGUUGUCAAGUAGGCUGAAGACAGAUCUCCAUUUUAAUGAGGUACCUAGAGGUCUGGAGGGCUGAGUCAAUAAGCCUUCCUUCCCAGACACUCCUCAGGCCUACCCUGAGAAGUGGGGUACAGUUUUACACAUCCACUUUCUGCCAUGACACAUCCAAAUGCCAUAAAACCAUGGACUGCCUCUUUUCAUCAUGAUCUGCCAUGGGGAGCCAUGGAGAAGGCCUUUGCCUACAGAGCUGGCAUCUAAUCUUCCAUAGAAGGCCCCUCUGCACUACCAACCAAGCAGACCACUAUGCCUGCUGCCAUCAAGCCAAGGACUACCACCCUGGGACCAGCCAGGGCCCCCACUUAUCCCACCAAUCCCAGGCUAGAUACAACCCACAGGACCCCACUCCAUUCUCUGCUCUUCUGAAGCUUCCAGCAGUGCCUGGGUGUUCAAGAGCCUGAGAACCAGACAGGCCUGGCCGUGUCACAGGCCCAGGACCCCCAAGCCAGCUCUGGCUGUCCCACACCUCAGACUGCGUUUUUCUUACCCUCGGAAAUUUGUCCCAGGGACUCCCUUAAGGGCCCAAUACCAGACCAAUGACAACCACAUUGGGGUAAGCACAGUCAACUCUUGAGUCCUGCCUUCCCAAGCAACAAUGCCCUGUGGUGGAGCAGACGUAGGACCCAUAACCCUACAACUAGGGUCUAAAAGAAAAGCUUUGAUGCCUCUUGGGGAAAGGGGGAGGACCAUUCAGAAACCUUACAUUCAGAAUUCCAACAACAACCUUGCCUGGGCCUCCAGACUCAUUCCUCUACUUCUUCCUCUUCUUCCUCUCCCUCCUCUUCCUCCCACAACACUAUUACAUGCAUCUUAUACCCUAUUGGCUCUGUCUCCUUGGAAAACCUCGGGUAAUAUACCAACUUUAAAGAAGUUAAAAUGGCUUCAGGAAGGUUGAAAUGUGUAAAAAAGAAAAAAAGCAAAGCACUGAACAGCAUAGAUUGGUUCUAAAAAAUGUCCUUUCCCUUGAAUUUAAGGAGGUCGCCCUUCUCAGAGAGGUUUUGUGAGCAACACAUGGACAAUGAGGUAGACAGUGAUGUCUCCAGCAACAAGGCAAAUGCCCACUGGUUACUUGUGGAGAGGCACUUGAGGAGGUUGUGGUUUUUAAUUUUCAGAGCAGCUUUGCUUUGUAGCUUGAACUAGAAUGACACCUGCUGUCUUAGUUAUGGUUUUAUUGCUGUGAAGAGACACCAUGACCAAGGUAACUCUUAUAAAUGAAAACAUUUAAUUGGGGCUGGCUUACAGGUUCAGAGGUUUGGUCCAUUAUCACCAAGGUGGGAGCAUGGCAGCAUCCAGGCAGACAUGGUGCAGGAGGAGCUGAGAGUUCUACAUCUUGAUCCAAAGGCAACCAGGAGAAGACUACCUUCUGCAGGCAGCUAGGAGGAAGAGGAGGCUGUCUUCCACUGGGCAGAGCUUCAGCACUAGAAGUCCUCAAAGCCCACACACACAGUGACCUACACACUUCCUCCAAAGGUCACACCUCCUAAUAGUGCCACUUCCCAUGGACCAAGCAUAUUCAGACCACCACACUAUGUUUCCUGCCUCUUAGGUGUUGGGAUUUUAUAGACAUGUUCCAUCGCACCCAGAUCCUGCUGGGUAAUUAUGAUAGAUUGUAGCCAGGCCAAGACAGAUCUGUGGUGCCAGCAACUGGAAGACCGAGGCAGGAGAAUCCUUUGAGCUCAGGAGUUCAGGACCAAUCCAGGUAAUAUAGGGAGACCAUGUAUCUUAAGAAGUCAAACAAGUAAAUUUCUCCAUUAUAAUCAGAGGACCAGGUUCAGUAGUACAUUGGCCUGUAAUCUCACUAUUCUGGAACUGGGGCAGGAAGAGUUCAAGUUUAGGCUGUCUUGGACAAUGAAGUGAGACCCUCUCUCAAAAUAAAGGCAAGUAGAGCUGGUGCUCAGGAGUGUAGCUCUCCUAGUGUGCAUGAGGCCCUGAGUUCAACAUCCAGUACUGAAAAUGAUAAUCAAGUAUACCUUGAUUACUAUCAAGCAGCAAGUAUAGCUGCUGCCAGAGCCAGCCUCAAUCCAAGCUUGCCCCAAGAGGUGGCCUUAUGAUCAUCCUGCCUGAGACCUGAAAGGGCAGAUCAUGGGGUCACCUCAGUCAUCGUCUCCCCUCUCUUUCUAGUGUUCUCCUCGGUUUAGGAAAUUUCUCCUGUAUCUCUUCUCCUGCCUCAAAUCCAGAAUUCACAAUGCCAGUGAAGGUGGAUAAGCCACACCCAUGCUAAGGCAUACUCACUGACACCUUCACCUGUCCCCCAGACUUGAAGUCCUGAGCAGAGUCUUCCAGCCCCACAGCCCCACCCAGGGCAAAGCCAACCCAUGUCUUCAAUCGUACUUCCAUGAAUGCUGUGUUAAACCUGGAUCAGCAGGUUUAAUGCAGGGCAGGUGUUGUUUGCCCCAGUGACAGUACUAGUAGUCACCUGGUCUUGGGCUGACAAGGGUAAGGCAAUCUGGCAGAGAAAACCCUACCACUUAGCUUCUUGGUCUUCCUUACUGGCCAAACCACCCAGAGUCAGACCAGCCAACAUAUCUAUGAAAGCUGCCUGCCUACCUGUUCCUGUGUGGGAGUGCGGUACAAAGCCCUUGUUAGGAGUCUUGGAGCUCAGCCUUGUCAAUCAUCUCACGCUGUCCUAAGAUGACUAGUAAGAUUUGCAAGGCAAAAUAAAUUCCUUUAGCAAAUACUUGUCAAAAUCAAUGAUCUGCUGCCUUGAGAUGUUCUUGGUACAGAACAGGCAAAAUUGUGUACACAGCUGGGCAGGGUGACUCACGCCUCUAAUCCUAGCGCUCAGGAGGGAAGGCUUGCUCACCACAAGAUCUAGGCUAUCCUGGACUACAUAGUGACCUCCAGGACACAGUCCUCAGAGUAAGUUCCUGCUUAAAACAACCCGUAAUAAAAACUAAAGGAAAAAAAAAAACAUGCGCAUGUUGUGAUUUCAAGGGAUCACUGUACAUUACAACUUUGUGAGAGUUAGAAGCUGAGCGGACAGAGGUGGUGCAUCUCUGGCCAUCUGGCAAAGACAGGGGAGGCCCUGUGGACAAGGGAGAGAACACAGAAAACACGAAACUCAAGGCAAACUGAAACGGAAGUAAAACUUUCAGAUUUUAACCUUAUAAAAAUUUGAGUGUUUUGUUUUAGUUACUUAUUUUUUUUAAUUUUCUGUGUUCAAGAUAUUUUAAAGAAGUGGAAACUUAAGGGUUCUUUGGGAAGUCAGUUGUGUCAGAUGGUGUUUUGCUGGGGCAGACUCAUGAAGAAACUUUUCACAGAAGUAGACAUAGGUGAAAGGAUGUUCUGCUAAAGCAAGUGUGUGAAAGGGCAGGUGAUGAAGGAUUCUUUGCUAAUGACACACACGUAUUGAUCCGCCUUACAUUGCGUAGUUGAGCUCUGUUUGUCAGGACUCCAUAUAGAGAAGUGCACCAAAAAACUUGUGGUGGUGGACUGUGGCUUCUUGCCUCUUCCUUGGACUGGCAGAGUGAUGUCAGCUGAGACACAUUCACGUGGAGUUUUCCUAACUCAGACUCAUGUGCUGAGGCAAGACACGUGCUGAGACAAGAACUAUGGAGGACACGUGAUGUGUCAUGGGAGUAUAAAUAGGACUCAACAGACUGUGAGGGAGGCUUGCUGGUAGAGUCUGUGUCCUUGCUGAGAGAGAGGCACAGCAGGCAGAGAAUUUCUCCUGGCAUCCCUGCUGGUCCGAAUCCCUCCUGCUGACUUGUGCUGAUUUGGCUGAGGGCUGGCUGUUCUUGCUAGGCCUUGCCAUCACUGCUGCUGUCCCAACUCUACCAAAAUGGAUGCCGGUAUAUCAGUGAAGUAUUUUCAAGUGGAUCAAGCUGCUGCUGCUGACCUGUGACCUGAACGGCCAAUUUUCUGACAAUGAAGAUGGGAUUUGCUCCAAAGAACUCACUCUUUCUUUCUGUCCUUCCUUCUUUCUUCCUUCCUUUCUUUUUUCCUUCUUUCUUUCUUUCUUUCUCUCUUUCUUUCUUUCUUUCUCUUUCUUCCUUCCUUUCUUUUUUCCUUCCUUCCUUCUUUCUUUCUUUCUUUCUUUCCUUCCUUCCUUCCUUCUUUCUUUCUUUCUUUCUUUCUUUCUUUCUUUCCUUCCUUCCUUCCUUCUUUCUCUCUUUCUUCCUUCCUUUCUGUUUUCCUUCCUUCUUUCUUUUUUUAUCAUCUUUAAUCUUUCCUCACAGUCCAGUUGCUAUCCCUCUACUGUUCCGCCUUCUGACAGUUUCCCAUUUAUUGCCCAUCUCUCCGUAGCAUCUUACUCUCCUCACCUCGGCCAUUGUGAGUCUGUGUAAACCGUCAUCUACUGCAAACAGAGGCUUCUCUCAUGAGUCCUAAGAGGUGCAUUAAUCUGCUCCACGUAGGUCCGGUCUCUCACCUAACCAGGGAUUCGCUGUUUUGGCUUGACUGGCUGGCCAACAAGCCCCUAGCAUCUGCUUGUCUGCCUCCGGUUGCCGUGGCAAUAGCUGCUUACACCAUGCCUGCUUCCGUGCGACUGCUGGAGGAGAUUCACACUCAGAUCCUCACUUUGCCCAGUAAACUGCCUUCUCGCUGCUGGAGAAAUAUUAACACGCCUCCACAGCCCCACUACUUAGCUCAUUCUCAACGAUGCUCAAAGGCUUCUACCCUUUGCCCUACUUCCUUCCCGGUACAUCAAUGAGGAGUUUUAAGGGAGAGGUUCCUACACUGUGCAGAAGCAAGAAAAGGCCGUGAUGCUGAGAUGGGGAGAGAGACGUUCAGAAAGUGUGCAGGGCAAGAGGGGGAGGCAGCUCAGGCAGACCCAGAGCUGGAGAGCCCUUCAGGAAAUCUGGAUGUUUCUGGAAGCAGAGAGAAGAUCCAUGGCUUAUAUGUUUUAAGGCAGUGAUUAACCCACACAGCCAGGGAACUGCAGCUGGGUGCAUACCUACCUCCCAUUUACCCACAGCCCGAGAGCUGCAGUUGGCUAAGCACCUCCCUCUCCAUUGCUUGUUGGUGACCUGUAGGACUCAGACUGACAAUCAAACUGGGUCAAACCAGAAGGCCUGAAGUGUGAAGGAUGCUCCGUGGGAUCGGUGGCAGUCUCUGAGACUGUCAUCUGAGGUCACUGAAGAACAACUGCCUCACUGACUUGUCCCUGGGAAUUUCAAUGGGAGAUGACAUAGUCCACUGUAAAUGCCCAUCAGAACCAGGGAGAUGGCUCGCUGUGCAGAUGUGAGGACUAAGAGUCUUCAGAGUCCAAUAAAAGCCAGAUGUUUGGGGUAGUGAGCGGGAGACAGAAUCCCAGGGGCAAACUGGCCAAAUUAGUGAGCUCUGUUCAGCAGUCGAAUGCAUGCUUGUUGGGGACCUGCCGUUCCCUGGCAGCUUGUCUCCUUUGAUCCUGAGUAAAAUCCUUUGCGACUCUACUGUUUUCUUCUUUUGUUUUCCUCCUCCCUGCCAACUCUACUGAUUUCAUGUGCAUAAGUUCUUUGAACAAGAUGCCAAGACCCUGGAAACCCCUGGUCUAGACAGAGAUGACCAGUAACCUAGGUAGUUAUUGGAAAUCCACCUAGAAUAUACUUACUGAUUCUUCUGCACCUGUUUCAAAAGCAUCUCACUCUGUCUAGCCAGUUAGUCUUACUACCCCCGCCAUAGCUCACAGCAUAAGGCUUAGACCUGUACCUCUGCCGUCGUCUCCUGCUCAUCUCUGAGCUGCCCGCACAGAAAUCAUCUCAACUCGCUUACUGAUCAACUACUGCAAACUGGUUAGACUGCUGUGAGUUGCGUAGAAAUUGUUCUUCAAAACAACAUUAUGGGUGAGAUAGCAGCUUCAUUUUAUGAAUGAGGGGAAUGAAACAGAAAGUUAAGAUAAUCGCCGAAUUUAUAUAACCACUAAAUAGAAAGAAAAUCUUAUCCCUGGUCUGAUUUCAAAACCCAUGUCCACUUUGCAUUACAUCUCUGUUUGGCCCAUAUACUUUCCUAGGCAUGACCAUUCUCUCUCUCUUUUUUUUAAAGAUAAAUUUGUUUAUUUAUUUAUAUUUAUAUGAGUACACUGUCGCUGUCUCCCAACACACCAGAAGAGGGCAUCGAAUCCUUUUACAGAUGGUUGUGAGCCACUAUGUGGUUGCUGGGAGUUGAACUCAGGACCUCUGGAAGAGCAACCUCUGGAAGUGCUCUUAACCAAGUGUCAUCUCUCCAGCCCCAACCCUUCUUGUCAUUAAGCCACUGCCAUACUUAAAUCUCUGUGAUUUGAGAGUUGGGACUGCAGAAGCCUAAUUCUGUGCUGGCAGCUGGCUCUCUGUGGGACACUGUUACUAGGGAUGUUAGAGGUCCUGAAGAAGGAAAGAGACUUCCCGUCUGAAGUUCCUAUUGAGCCCCACUCCAUGGGCAGCUGUGGUUCAUGCCCCACUUGGAGGUGCUUUGCCCCCUUCCCUCCUUCCACUCAGCCAGCCGAUGACCCUUUUUAAAGCUCUGGGUUCCACACCUCCCUAGCUCCUCCUCCCAAGUCCCUUGUGUCUAGGCUUUGCUUCUCAGGACUGUUCUUCUCGUCCAAGAUGGUCCCAAUCUCUUCCUUUUGAUACCCGUGCCUGUAUGUGUGAGGGUCAACCAUCGUCAGUGCUUUAGAUUGAGAGAGGCCAACAUGAAGUGGGAACUUAAGGGCUCUUCGGAAAGUCAGUUGUGUCGAACGGUGUUUUGCUGGGGGGCAAAUACGGGAAGGAGUGUUCUGAAGCAGACAUAGUUGAAAGACUAAGGCAGAUUUGUGAAGGAACGUUUAACUGAAGCAGACACAGGAAACAGGAUGUUCUGCUAAAGCAAGCAUGUGAAAAGACACACGAUAAAGGAUUCUUUGCUGACGACAUGUAUGUAUUGGUCUGCCUUACAUUGCGUAGUUGAGCUGCAGUUGUUGGGACUCCAUAGAGAGAAACGCACAAAAAAAACAAAAAAAAAACAAAAAAAAAACCUGUGGUAGUGUGCUGCAGUUUCUUGCCACCUCUGUGGACUUGGGCUCAUUGGCAGAAUGAUGUCAGCUGAGACAGAUGCAUGAGGCAAGACACAAGGCGAGGCAAGAUACAUGGAGGACACGUGAUGUUUACAGGGUAUAAAUAGAACUCGACAGGCAGUGAGGGAGGCUGAGCUUGGCUUGCUUAUUGGCUGUGCAAUGGUUGUGGGUCUCAUGUCUUCACUGAUCUUCACUUUGCUGAGAGAGGUGCAGCUGAGAACUUCUCCUGGCAUCCCUCUGGUUCUCUCCUGCUGACUUGUGCUGAGGCUGAGGCCUGGCUGUCUCUGUUAGUGGUGUCACUGCUGUUGCUGAACUGAACUGCUGAUGUAUCCAUGAAGUGUUUUCGAGUGGAUUGAGCUGCCAUUGCUGAUCUGUGAACUGAACUGAAGAUUUCUGGACAACAUAGAUGGGAGUUGCUCCAAAGAACCAUUUCUUUUUUUUUUUAAUUUAUUCAUUUAUUAUAUAUAAGUACACUGUAGCUGCCUUUAGAUACACCAGAAGAGGGCAUCAGAUCUCUUUACAGAUGGUUGUGAGCCACCAUGUGGUUGCUGGGAAUUGAACUCAGGACCUCUGGAAGAGCAGUCAGGUGCUCUUAACCGCUGAGCCAUCUCUCCAGCCCCAAAGAACCAUUUCUAAGCAGGUCCACUUCCCCCACAUCCUUUUUUUCCACUCUGGUGGGUGGUGGGGUAAAAGGGAGGUUAAAGUAUUUAAGAACCAUCAUUAAAAGUAGCCUUUGAAAAUAUUAAAGUUACACCUAAGAGAUUCAUAGAGCACACCUCUGGGUGGGUUCUAUGAGGACACUUCCAAAGAAGAUUGACAAGUGGAGACAGUAAGGGAGGGAGAAGAACCUACUCCGACUGUGGGUCGCACCAUUCAAUGGCUGGGGGUUGCGACAAAUCAAAAGCCAAACAGAAGGAUGCCAGUCUUCAUGCCCGGACUCCAAGGUUCCUGAACACAACACAACAGGUUCUGCUGCCAUUGCCCUGAACAUGUGAUCCAGACGAGUGGUUCUGCAGUAGGCUUCCAGGCAACCACAUUGUUGGCCUGGGACUCUGGGACUUCUGUCUGCCUGGAUUGAGCUGCUUCCGGGGUGGGUAUUUUCUGACUGCAGCAUGCAGACAGCCAUAGGUGGAUUACUCAGUCUCUGAUCAUGGGAAGCCAUGUAGUAUACCUUCUAUGAGUGUGCAUGUUCUCCUGGCUCUGCUGCAGAAAGCCUGGCACCAACAGGUGCUUCUUCCUGCUGCUACUCUACCAAUACCUCAGCCAUUUCCACUCUUUUAGGCAUUUAGUUGGGAACUUUAUAUCCCAUUAAAAAGUCUGGGAAGCUGUUGCCAGGAGAGAAUAACCCCAGGAAUAAAGUGAAUCUGAGGGAUGUAGGGAGAAAAUCCACUACACCUGAAGCUACUCUGUUCAGAGCCCUAGCAGCCAGAGUCCCCAGCUGUUGGGAACACUGGCUGCUAACACCAACUGCAUCAUCUGGGAAGUGCCUUUAGAGGUAUGGACCAACCUUCCUUCCUCAAGUGAACUUCAUACUUCAGGAGCGGCCAAGCACCUGUGUUAUGUUUGGGUAGGGACUGUCUCUCAGAGGCUAGAGUGUUGAAGCUUGGUUCCUAGCUGGUGGUGCUGUUUAGAAGGUUCUGGAAACUUUAGAUCAGCGGUCCUCAACCUGUGGGUUGUGGCUGCUUUAGGGAUCUCAUCUCAGCUGUUCUGCAUAACAGAUAUUUACAUUACUAUUCAUAGCAGUCGCAGAAGAAAGAAUUUUAUGGCUGGGGCUCACCAUAGCAUGAGGGUCGAAACAUUAGGAAGGUUGAGAAUCACAGCUCUAGGAGAUAGGUUCUAGAAGGAGGAAGAUCACUGGGGCUGCCUUUGAAAGUGAUACCCAUUCCCAGAGUCUUAGUUUGUGUUUUGUUUUGUUUUGUUUUGUUUUGUUUUUUUCCAGAGCUGGGGACCGAA